ensembl:lncRNA
CUCUGGGAGCAGGUGGGUGGCUGCUGUGGUGCUGGGAGCCUCAGGUCAUCACUUUGCAGGGACUCAUGGUGCUUUGCAACCCUAUCAGCCAUCCAGCAGAAUUCAGCAAGCUGUCCUGAAAUCUCCAUCUGUGCUGCAGCGUGCUUUGGUGAGAUCCCAACACAGCAAACCUUUUGUGAAUGGACUUUGUGAGGAUGUGAGUCGGUGCCAGAGACUUGUUGGUAACUGCUGCCUUCUACUGCUCUGAUGUGGAUUCCACAGCAAGGAGUGGGCUGUUUCCUACAGUGCCCUAAUGUGUCAAUUGAGGAGCAGCAGCAUUUGCUGGAGUGUUUCUGAGAAGUAUGGAGGCAAUGUCAGUAUGGAGCAGAGAGGUUCCUCAGGUCUGGGCCAGGUGCUGCAUGUCCCAGGUGUUCCCCUCACCAUGGCCACAAAGCCCUGAGUGAUCCUUGGCUUGAACCACUUGGUUUUGAAGCCAAGUUUGGGUCCCAUCAAUAGGAAAACUCCUGGAAACACCUUCCUGAUCUAGUUUGCUGUUGGAGCCAUCGAGAGCUUUCUCUUCCAAGAUGAAAGUGGGAUAAAAGCAGCUUCAGGACACAUCUCAGCAUGGAUGGCAAGAGGCAGUUGUACCGGAGUGGUUCUUCACUUUGUGCACAGCCAGGUGAAACACAAACAGUGACAAAUUGAUGAUGGAG